rnacentral:rRNA from 1 species
GAAAUGCGAUAAGUAGUGUGAAUUGCAGAAUUCAGUGAAUCAUCGAAUCUUUGAACGCACAUUGCGCUCCCUGGUAUUCCGGAGAGCAUGCCCGUUUCAG